UACGAAGGGUGCAAGCGUUACUCGGAAUUACUGGGCGUAAAGCGUGCGUAGGUGGUUUGUUAAGUCUGAUGUGAAAGCCCUGGGCUCAACCUGGGAAUUGCAUUGGAUACUGGCAGGCUAGAGUGCGGUAGAGGAUGGCGGAAUUCCCGGUGUAGCAGUGAAAUGCGUAGAGAUCGGGAGGAACACCGGUGGCGAAGGCGGCAUCCUGGACCGACACUGACGCUGAGGAGCGAAAGCCAGGGGAGCAAACGGG
rnacentral:rRNA from 1 species